rnacentral:rRNA from 1 species
UACGUAGGGGGCUAGCGUUGUCCGGAAUCAUUGGGCGUAAAGCGCGCGUAGGCGGCCCGGUAAGUCCGCUCUGAAAGUCCAGGGCUCAACCCUGGAAAGCGGGUGGAUACUGCCGGGCUAGAAUCCGGAAGAGGCGAGUGGAAUUCCUGGUGUAGCGGUGGAAUGCGUAGAGAUCCGGAGGAACACCAGCGGCGAAGGCGGCAUCCUGGACUGGUCCUGACACUCAUGAGCGAAAGCGUGGGGAGCGAUCCGG